GUGCCAGCGCAAGGUCACCAAAAAUUCCCCGCACCAAAGCUGCUUGGAGUGGGCAGACGUUGUGUGGCAAAGUGGUUCGACGAGGGCGGUGAAUUCUAAAGCACACCUUAGAGAUGGGAGUGGGAAGGCAUCACGCCUUCGUCAGUUGACCCCCAUCAACCACUGCAGACAGCCUUGAUGACUUGGACUACAGUGAUGAAGACACUGCAAGAGUGUCUUGGUAUUUCCUUUCUCGUGUCAAGCCGCGCUGUUCAAUGGUGGCUGCCUCCAAUUCUUCAUCAUCAUCACUGUCUUCACUCUCUACUGGAGAUGGAUGGGAAGUGGCUGAUGCAGGAGUGAGGGAGCCACUAGCUGGGCAGCAAUAUGGACAGUCUCCAUAAUCCAGCACCGGCAUGUUCUCAGGGGUAUGGAUGCCAGACUGACUAAGAGUUGGCACAGUCAGUGGGACUUUUGUGAUGUGCUCCCAUUCCCAUAUGCAUAUUGCAGUUGUUACGGCACUGCAGGAGAACUUCCGUGUUUGAUAUCUUAACUUCUGGACAUGCUAUAUGGCUAUCCUUUUCAAAUAGUGUAUUUGGUAUAUCUUAUAAGUAAUUGGUGAAGUGUUGAUCCCCUAGUGGCUUCUUUUGGAACUACAGGGGCCAAUUUAGUGUUGAUA